UCUCUCCCCUUGCAAUUGGCAGCGAGUAGCAAGGGGAAGGUGUUGGCACAGACCUGGGUAGGCUUACGGUGCAUAAAUGUACAUUAAGCAUCAUCUGGACUCCAGGGGUGGGGGAAGCUGCCAAGUUCAACUCUGCCCUUCUCUUCUGUCAUCGUUUCCCUUUUUCCCCUUCAUGUCAAAUACGUUCAUGCCGGGUGCUGGACCUGCUCAUCCUGGAAGCAAGGAAAGGCUUCAGUCCUUGGCUGAAGGAGGGGCAAAUUCAGUCCCUCUUAGUUCUGAAGUGUUUGCUCCUGUGACCGCUUUUCCAGACCCGUGGUUUUACCUUGGAGUUCCUGUGCUAGAGGUGACUUGUAGAAGCACCAAGCUUGUUUCAGCUCUGCGUGUGGCAGGAGCUGCCUGGCCAGAUGUUCCUGCUGCCUUCCCUUGUGCUUGCCCCAGUGCUUCUCUGAUCCUCUUGUGGAGCCAACAGCCAGGUUACAUUUGGGAAGAACAUUAAACAGGCUGAAAACUAAAACAGCAAAAGAAGUGAGUUGUUUUUGCAGGUGUAGUGAGUUAAGU
rnacentral:lncRNA from 1 species